UUUAAAAAAUAAAUAAAUUUUUAAUUUUUUUUAAAUAGUUUCAAAAAAAUUCUUCAAAUUUCAAAAAUAAAAUUUGGAAUUCGAAUUUUUAUUAUACAAAGUUCAUAUUUGAAAACGUAUAAUUCGAAAAAUAUAAAAGACAAUUAUUUUUAUUUAAAUAAUUAUUUAUAUUUAUAUAUCUAUAAAAUAAGGGUAUAAUAGUUCUUUUGCCUCUUUAGUGAAACUUCAUACUUUAAAUAUUUGUGAAAAUGUUUUCUAGUGAAUGUAAACAUGAAUAAUAGUACCAAAAUUGAGUUAAAAGUAGAAUUGUCUCAUAAAACAUUUUGGAUUUUGUUUUAAAUAAUUUACUUAUACCAGUCUAUUGGACUUUAUUUUAAACCAUUAUAUUUUUUUUUUAUAAGAUAAUACUAAAUAUUCAAAUAUAUGAUACAUGGUUUAGAACAUAUAAAUCAAAUAAUAUUGGAAAUCUAUAUUAUAAUGAUUGGGUUUUUGCUCUCUCUUCAGCGCGCCACGUCAGCAUUCUGUGGGUCCCACUUUUAAAAAGUGUGAAAAAGUGUCAAGUCCAUGGUUCGAACCCGGGUUAUUGAGAUAUAAAUACCAACAUUUAUACCACUAAACUAAAGGAUACUUUGUACAUUGAUGGCCGAAACUAAUAUAUAUUUAUGAAGGUCGGAAACUCUUGCUUCUUCGGCUUUCUCUGUGGGCCGGGCCUAGGGAAGGAAAAUAAUAUAGAUUGUUUUUAAUUGAUUUCCUGAUU
rnacentral:lncRNA from 1 species